rnacentral:rRNA from 1 species
CCGGUCAUCGGAAUGGGUACAAUCUAAACCCUUUAACGAGUAUCUAUGAGAGGGCAAGUCUGGUGCCAGCAGCCGCGGUAAUUCCAGCUCUCAAAAUGCAUAGAAUUAUUGCUGCGGUUAAAAAGCUCGUAGUUGGAUCUGUGCCAGGGAGUCGGUCNCACUUUCGAGUGCGUACUGGCUAACCCAGGCUUUGUUUGCCGGUUUUCUCCUCGUCGGUCUUAACCGACUGCGGGGGGUGGCUGGCGAUUUUACUUUGAACAAAUCAGAGUGCUUAACACAGGCGUUUCGCUUGAAUGUUCGUGCAUGGAAUAAUAGAAAAGGAUUUCGGUUCUAUUUUAUUGGUUUUAUAGACUGAGAUAAUGGUUAACAGAGACAAACGGGGGCAUUCGUAUUGCUGCGUGAGAGGUGAAAUUCUUGGACCGCAGCAAGACGAACUACAGCGAAAGCAUUUGCCAAGAAUGUCUUCAUUAAUCAAGAACGAAAGUCAGAGGUUCGAAGGCGAUCAGAUACCGCCCUAGUUCUGACCGUAAACGAUGCCAACUAGCGAUCCGCCGGCGGAUAUUUCGCCCUGGUGGGGAGCUUCCCGGAAACGAAAGUCUUCCGGUUCCGGGGGAAGUAUGGUUGCAAAGCUGAAACUUAAAGGAAUUGACGGAAGGGCACCACCAGGAGUGGAGCCUGCGGCUUAAUUUGACUCAACACGGGGAAACUCACCCGGCCCGGACACCGUAAGGAUUGACAGAUUGAUAGCUUUUUCAUGAUUCGGUGGAUGGUGGUGCAUGGCCGUUCUUAGUUCGUGGAGCGAUUUGUCUGGUUUAUUCCGAUAACGAGCGAGACUCUAGCCUACUAAAUAGUUCGCACAUUGUCAACUUGUGUGCGCUUACUUCUUAGAGGGAUUUUCGGUGUUCAGCCGCACGAGAUUGAGCAAUAACAGGUCUGUGAUGCCCUUAGAUGUCCGGGGCUGCACGCGCGCUACACUGGCGAAAUCAGCGUGCUUAUCCUUUCUCGAAAGGGAUUGGUAAACCAUUGAAAAUUUGCCGUGAUUGGGAUCGGAAAUUGCAAUUAUUUUCCGUGAACGAGGAAUUCCAAGUAAGUGCGAGUCAUCAACUCGCGUUGAUUACGUCCCUGCCCUUUGUACACACCGCCCGUCGCU